GACACUAUGGCGGAGUGGUCUAUCGCGCUGCCCCGCUAAAAGACUCUCUUGUCAACGAGUGAGUCACCUGCGUGCUAGGCAGUCUCUUCGGAGGCCUUGGUUCGAAUCCAAGUGGUGUCG